rnacentral:rRNA from 1 species
CAGUCGCCGCGGUAAUACGUAGGGUGCGAGCGUCAAUCGGAAUUACUGGGCGUAAAGCGUGCGCAGGCGGUUUUGUAAGACAGGCGUGAAAUCCCCGGGCUCAACCUGGGAAUGGCGCUUGUGACUGCAAAGCUAGAGUGCGGCAGAGGGGGAUGGAAUCCCGCGUGUAGCAGUGAAAUGCGUAGAUAUGCGGAGGAACACCGAUGGCGAAGGCAAUCCCCUGGGCCUGCACUGACGCUCAUGCACGAAAGCGUGGGGAGCAAACAGGAUUAGAUACCCUCGUAGUCCCUGUCUCUUAUAA